GGUAUUUAUUUUUUAAGUUAAAAUAGAAUUCACGGGGUGAAUAGAAAUAUUCUUGGGAAAAAGUAAAGCCUGUUAUUUGAAAACUACUUCAAAAAUCGCAAUAGUGUUUUUAGUUUUUACAAUGGCAACAUUUUUUUGUUGGAAUGACAACAUUUGAAUAGUAUGAAGUUAGCAAUUUAUGUCAAAAAAGUGAGUUCAAAGUGCAACGGUAGUAUGUAUGUCUUUUGUGCUCUUAUUAACUUCUCUCUAAUUAUUAUUUAAAUUUAUUGCUCUUAGAUUGCACCCAUAAAUAUUUCUCGAUUAAGAGGUGAAUAGAGACGACUGAGGGGUGAAUAGAAACGCGAUAUGAGGUGAAUAGAAACGGGAAAGUGGUAAAUAGGAACGAGAAAGAGUUUAAUAGAAACGCGAAAGGGGUUUUUAGAAACGCUUUUGAUACGGUUGGCACUUUAUGCAGGUAUAGUUGCGAGCAAUAUGCCACGCAACUACAUACCAGACCCUCGGGGUAAGAAAUAUAUAUAAAAUAUGACUUCAACUUAAUACAACAGGCUGUUAAUGAAUAUUCUGCGAGUAAUUGUUCUCUUGAUACUAUCUCAAAGAAAUAUAAUAUACACAUAUCUGUUUUAUACAGACACUGCAUAAGAAAUAUGAAAAGUCAAGAAGGUCAAACUGUUUUAUCCAAAGAAACUGAAGAAGAAUUUAUUAAAUAGGUAUAUAAAUAUAUGUGCUGACUGGGGCUAUCCUUUGGAGGAUUAUUCUAUAAUACUAUAUUUUUAAUAUUAAUAAAAAGGUUUUCUAAUAUAUUA